GGGAAUUCUCUGAGUUACUUGAAACAUGAGCAACAAACAUCUUAGCAAAGCACAACCUAUGCUUGUUAAUGAAAUGUGCUUGUACAAUGCAAAAGAUGUAUUGCACUGAGCCAUGAUGUGUUGUAUACUGCAAUCAUUGCAUUAGUCAUUUUGUUCCGCAUUUGUCAGACACAAUAUUCAGAAAUGGGCAACUGCAUUUCAACCUGAAAUUGCUCCUUAGAUAUCUCCAGAAAGAUGACUUGAUUUUUUCAGUUACUAAUAACUCUCAGCCUAGGCUUACUUCUGUUGCUAGUUCAAGCUCAGGCCAUUUCUAUGAAGUGUUUGAUCAGAGUGCACAUUUAAAACCAUAUACUGAAACAGGAAAUAGAUGCUUUGCUGAGCAGAUGUUUUGUUCAAGCUUGCCCUGCUCACCUCAACUGCUCAUGGAGAUCUUCAUUCAAGACAAAAUCAGGCAAAUUGGCAAAGUGUUGAAAUUUGAUUCAUUAGCUGUUAUUACCCUAGCUGCAUGCAGAACUGACCUGAGCAAAAUUUUCUGUGGCAGUUAUUACACACUGUGAUUUUAAGAAAAUUGGCAUCAAAUUCUUGCAAGUCCUUGUUUAGAACCAAAAGAAAACUUAAAAAGCUUUGUUGGGUUUUCAAGUGAAUUUCUUCUUUCAGUGCUAGUUUGGAGUCACAUUGCAGGAUACUUCAAUUUGAUCCUCAGUGUAACAUGCAACAGUAGAAAAUGGUUAUCAGCUGGAUUGUACAGUGAGGAUGGUUCAGGAAAGGUGGUUAGACAAGGUCCCUUUAAACUAAAAAUAAGCUUUUAAACUCCGUGCAUGUGGCGCUAAAGUGCACUAUAUGAGAUGACUAUGGGCUCAGCUAAGGUUUAAAUGUACUGGCUAAAGGAAAUUAAAACUACCACCCACGUGUGUCUCUAACACAUAAUUCUUUCACUGAGAAUGUUUCAGCCUUAAAGUAGAUCUUACAUGCCAUUUAUCAUCCUUUUGAUAUACAUCAGGCUCAGAGUGUUAUCAAUGAAACAUGCAACAUAGAUAAUUUCCAUUGCGCCAGUAAAGAAAGAGAAGUUUUUUGUGACUAAGUGCUAAUAAAUGGCCUUGCAAGAGAAAUGACCUCCUAUUUAGUCAUCUGGCCUUGGAAAACAUGUGUCUGAAAGCAGAUGUAUCACCAGCUUUUACUUCAGAGGGAGAAGUUCUUUAUUCAGGAAAAUGGGAAACUUGCAUUUCAGUCACAUUGAAGUCAGCAAACUGCAUUUGCAACUUUCUCCUCAGAAGUAAAACCAUCUACUUUCCAUAAUAAGAGUAGUAAAGGAAAACAAAAAGAAUUCCGAAUGGGCACAGUGGAAACUGUUUAAUUCCCCAUGAAAGACACCUCCUGCAGCACACAGCUGGGUCAGAAAAGCUCAUCAUCCAAGGGAGGUGUUUGAAAGGUGCCAGCUGGGAUGGGAAGCAACCAUAGCCACCAGGGGAUACAGGUGGAGAUAUCUACAGGUUCUUCAGAACAAAGGGGUGUCUACAAAGCUCUUUUAAUAUCAAGUCUAGUGCUGUGGACUACCUCCCACCUGUAGCCUGAGUGUCUUGGCUGCCCUGAGCCUUCAUUAGCAGAAAGUUACCAGCAGUUGGGAGGCACUGAAAAGAACAAGGGUAGAAGGCUUAACGUAUGGUCCUGUACGCAGACCGGGCUAUGGAUAAGUGAAGCAGAAUACUUUUUGUGUAUGCUGUGGCAAGAGCUGAUGGAAUGUAAUGAGGAGGUGAUGUGUUCUGGAGAUCUCACACAUUGGCACUUUAUUGCAUGGUUGCCUCCAGUUGGAUCAGCACCUUCAGAAGAAAAUUUUCCAGGAAAAAAGCUUUUCCUGUGGCAGAACUGCACCAUAAGAUGUAUGAAGGUUGCUUCCCAGAAGCUCUCAUUGCACAGAUUAAGCUCUCCAGUUAUGCUGCCCUUACAGCCUGCAACAGCUGUUGGCAGUAUGAAAAAAUUGUCAGCCAGCCAGCUGCAUGCAGUUCGCCUGGGACUGUACAUUGCAACUUGUUGUGAUGAGAGAUGUUGCUUUUCAUCCCAAUGAUCUUUUGCUUCUUUCCAUCUUUUGGAAGCUUUAGAACUGAAAAUAAACUAGUUGGAAUUUUUCUCUAUUGAAGGAAACAUCUCUCUACCCAGAUGAGAUACACAUCCAUUCGGAUCAGACAUCUUCUCACUGGUGUGUGUGGCAGAGGUGGUCUCCUAGGAGAAUCUGCUGCCCCACCACACAGAAGUUUAUGUUUCAGCCAUUUGCCCGUUGGUGACAGAACAAACUAUCUAGCUUUCUUGUGGUCAGCCACAGCCAAUGCUGGUGAGCCCUACGGAAGGCUUUGUGGGCGUAUGUUUAUGUAUUCUAUGGAGUCACCAAGUCAGUUUUCUGUGAAUGUUAUACAGGGACAUGGAGACAUUAACUAAGUGACCUGUAUUCUUCCUUGGUCACACUGAGGCCCUCCACACUGUCUGAAAGCCCCAGAUAAAUGCAGAGGAAGCCACAUGGAUUAAAACUAAAUCCAAGAUUUAGCUCAGCAGAUGUCUCUUUCAGAGUAUUCACUGGCUGUUAUUGGAUAAGUACACUACAGCCCACGUCUUUCACCAUCAUCCCAAGUGGUGUAAUUCCCCUGGCUUCUGAAUCAGUGCAGCCCUUCCCCACCUCUCCUUUGCCAGUCACCACGUUGCAUUGCAUCCCAGUGCACGUAGUUAGGCAAAAAGUUUGAAAUCAAACACUAUGUUACUUCAUGCUAGUGAGUCUCCUUGCAUGCUAUGUGUGUCAGGAGAACUGUCUGCAGAAGUGUCCUUGAGUGCUCAGGGCAGAGGUUUCAGUGUAACUCUAUAAGUAGUGGUUGUCUUCACUUCCUUGAAAAUUUCCUCAUCUGAUCUUGUCUUUUUAUUUUAUGAAGUAGAGCAUUUUUCUUCUAGUACUAAACAUUCGUUCGUUCAAGUCAGUCAGUAUAAGAUAUUAGAGAUUAAUAAAACCAUCAUAAUUUUUAAUGAGGGCAAUUAUUCAGAAACCUGUAAAUACAGCGACGCUUGGCUUUUUAUGUUUAUACAUAGUGGAACUCAGAAAUUUUUCUUCUCGUAGCAAAUGAUAUAUUCAUUCGAAGAAAUAAAGCUUCAGACUGACCUAAUAUUUAGUAAAUGCAACCUAAAUUGAAAAUUAGUUUUGCUCAAAGAACCGUGUGUCAUGGCAGAAUCGAAAAUAAUCACCUAUUUCAUUAUGGAAUAUUGCCACAUUCAUUGUGAAUUACCAUUUUUGUUGCUCUUCUUUAAUUUGAAACAUAGUAAAAUGCUAAAGGUGAGCAUUCUUUAAACCCAUCAUUUACGUGAAUAUGUCUAUUUUUACAUUUGUAGCUUGUUUUGUCCAUGCAUAUACAUUGCUUUGAUUAUUAUAUUAU